GGACUUGUUUGGAGCUCAGUCAUCUAGAAUCUGUGUGAAGCUUGCUUUUGGGCUAAGACACAGAGAUCAGAAAGGCCUUCAGCCUGUAUUAACAAGCUCUGUUUUGCAGCAUUCAUCUGCACCUAACAAGGAUUGCUAUCACUCUCACUGAUGACAGAUAUAUGUGGAGCUAGAAUGGGUGACACAUGAUGCGAGGCUGGGGUUUGUAGCAGAAUGAGAUGCCCACAGGAGUUCACAUUCAACCUUUGGACAACAAGGAAUGCCAACUCCACUUGUGAACCUGAUUUCUGCCCACAAUGGCUGUGUAACUUACUAUGGAUAACCAUAUGGCACAAACUGAUCUUCAUCACUCUGAAGGUGACUGUCAUCCACAAGGAGCAUAUUUACCUCAGCCUUUUGAGAGAACAGGAGAAGUCUCUGAUGGACCAUCCUGGAGAAGAGAGUAUGAGAAGUCUGUCUGAAGAUGAGUCAGAUUCUACUGAGUAUGGGAUGGUAUCAUGUCUACUCAAGAAGUAGAUCUUCAUAUCCUUUGGGAUAGGGCCUAGGUCCUCCCCGUGUGUCUAGGCUCAGGGGAGUAUCCCUCUAUAUGACAGACUCUGAAGACCCCCUAUGGAAGAUCUCACUCUCCCUGGGGAGCAGAAAGGGUAUAGGAUACAUAGGGUGUUAGUUGGGGGGCAGGAGAGGAGGGGAGGGAAAGGGAACUGGGAUUGACAUGUAAAACAAACUUGUUUCUAAUUUUAAUUAAAAAAUGGAGAAACAAAAGAAGUAGGGCUGCUGCACUUCUUAGGAGAGAGAAUCUACUUGUGCCUCUUCUCAACUCUCUUGGCUCUGAGAUGAGAAAACAAGGAAAUUCAAUUGAUCUUAUAAUAAGUGAUGAAACCCGAUAUGCUGUCAAUAAAGAGAAGGCCACUUCUUGACGAUGAUGUGGC
rnacentral:lncRNA from 1 species